AGAGUUUGAUCCUGGCUCAGGACGAACGCUGGCGGCGUGCUUAACACAUGCAAGUCGAACGGAAAGGCCCUGCUUUUGUGGGGUGCUCGAGUGGCGAACGGGUGAGUAACACGUGAGUAACCUGCCCUUGACUUUGGGAUAACUUCAGGAAACUGGGGCUAAUACCGGAUAGGAGCUCCUGCUGCAUGGUGGGGGUUGGAAAGUUUCGGCGGUUGGGGAUGGACUCGCGGCUUAUCAGCUUGUUGGUGGGGUAGUGGCUUACCAAGGCUUUGACGGGUAGCCGGCCUGAGAGGGUGACCGGCCACAUUGGGACUGAGAUACGGCCCAGACUCCUACGGGAGGCAGCAGUGGGGAAUAUUGCACAAUGGGCGGAAGCCUGAUGCAGCAACGCCGCGUGCGGGAUGACGGCCUUCGGGUUGUAAACCGCUUUCGCCUGUGACGAAGCGUGAGUGACGGUAAUGGGUAAAGAAGCACCGGCUAACUACGUGCCAGCAGCCGCGGUGAUACGUAGGGUGCGAGCGUUGUCCGGAUUUAUUGGGCGUAAAGGGCUCGUAGGUGGUUGAUCGCGUCGGAAGUGUAAUCUUGGGGCUUAACCCUGAGCGUGCUUUCGAUACGGGUUGACUUGAGGAAGGUAGGGGAGAAUGGAAUUCCUGGUGGAGCGGUGGAAUGCGCAGAUAUCAGGAGGAACACCAGUGGCGAAGGCGGUUCUCUGGGCCUUUCCUGACGCUGAGGAGCGAAAGCGUGGGGAGCGAACAGGCUUAGAUACCCUGGUAGUCCACGCUGUAAACGGUGGGUACUAGGUGUGGGGUCCAUUCCACGGGUUCCGUGCCGUAGCUAACGCUUUAAGUACCCCGCCUGGGGAGUACGGCCGCAAGGCUAAAACUCAAAGGAAUUGACGGGGCCCCGCACAAGCGGCGGAGCAUGCGGAUUAAUUCGAUGCAACGCGUAGAACCUUACCUGGGUUUGACAUGGAUUGGGAGCGCUCAGAGAUGGGUGUGCCUCUUUUGGGGUCGGUUCACAGGUGGUGCAUGGCUGUCGUCAGCUCGUGUCGUGAGAUGUUGGGUUAAGUCCCGCAACGAGCGCAACCCUUGUUCACUGUUGCCAGCACGUUAUGGUGGGGACUCAGUGGAGACCGCCGGGGUCAACUCGGAGGAAGGUGGGGAUGACGUCAAGUCAUCAUGCCCCUUAUGUCCAGGGCUUCACGCAUGCUACAAUGGCUGGUACAGAGAGUGGCGAGCCUGUGAGGGUGAGCGAAUCUCGGAAAGCCGGUCUCAGUUCGGAUUGGGGUCUGCAACUCGACCUCAUGAAGUCGGAGUCGCUAGUAAUCGCAGAUCAGCAACGCUGCGGUGAAUACGUUCCCGGGGCUUGUACACACCGCCCGUCAAGUCAUGAAAGUUGGUAACACCCGAAGCCGGUGGCCUAACCGUUGUGGGGGAGCCGUCGAAGGUGGGACUGGUGAUUAGGACUAAGUCGUAACAAGGUAGCCGUACCGGAAGGUGCGGCUGGAUCACCU
rnacentral:rRNA from 1 species